CUAUAAAAGUGAUGAUGAUAGCUUUGAUCUGCAUCAGUUGUUUUCUAAUCGGUUUUCAUUUAGUGUCGUUUUGAGCGGAAGUGUUGAUUGUCGCGGUUCAUGAUGAAGAUUACAGUGUUUUUCAUAAUCAGUACUUUGUGCUUGGUAGCAUUCGCCCAGGAUCAUUCCGAGCAGCAACAUGAUGAAGAGGCUAGCAAUCCUGCACUAGCAGCACUACUAGAGCAGACUGCCAAUCAGUUCGAAGUUCAAUCCGGUUCAGCGGAAGAAAAUGAUAUGGACGGAGCAGAAAGCCGUUACGGUUACUCGUGGCGCCGCAAGGGCCGAAAAUGGCAUGGUUGAAUUGAUCUGGGUUAGGAUUAUGACUACAACAAGAAUGUGAAAAUUUCAAAAAUAAAUCUAUUGAAAAAUUUACGUGAUUUCGACCUUUGA